rnacentral:rRNA from 1 species
CCUACGGGUGGCAGCAGUGAGGAAUAUUGGUCAAUGGGCGGAAGGCUGAACCAGCCAUGCCGCGUGAAGGUCAGUGCCCUAUGGGCGUUAAACUUCUUUUGUGCGGGAGCAAUAAUGGUCACGUGUGGCCAGACGAGAGUACCGUACGAAUAAGCAUCGGCUAACUCCGUGCCAGCAGCCGCGGUAAUACGGGGGAUGCAAGCGUUAUCCGGAUUUAUUGGGUUUAAAGGGUGCGUAGGCUGUGAGGUAAGUCAGCGGUGAAAUGCCCCCGCUCAACGGGGUGAAGUGCCAUUGAUACUGCCUGGCUGGAAUGCGGAUGCCGUGGGAGGAAUGUGUGGUGUAGCGGUGAAAUGCAUAGAUAUCACACAGAACACCGAUUGCGAAGGCAUCUCACGAAUCCGCGAUUGACGCUGAUGCACGAAAGCGUGGGUAUCAAACAGGAUUAGAUACCCUAGUAGUC